UACGUAGGGGGCAAGCGUUGUCCGGAUUUAUUGGGCGUAAAGAGCGUGUAGGCGGCCAGGUAGGUCCGUUGUGAAAACUCGAGGCUCAACCUCGAGACGCCGGCGGAAACCCUUUGGCUAGAGUCCGGAAGAGGAGAGUGGAAUUCCUGGUGUAGCGGUGAAAUGCGCAGAUAUCAGGAAGAACACCCGUGGCGAAGGCGGCUCUCUGGGACGGUACUGACGCUGAGACGCGAAAGCGUGGGGAGCGAACAGG
rnacentral:rRNA from 1 species